rnacentral:rRNA from 1 species
GUGACCUCAAAUCAGGUAGGACUACCCGCUGAACUUAAGCAUAUCAAUAAGCGGAGGAAAAGAAACUAACAAGGAUUCCCCUAGUAACUGCGAGUGAAGCGGGAAAAGCUCAAAUUUAAAAUCUGGCGGUCUUUUGGCUGUCCGAGUUGUAAUCUAGAGAAGUGCUAUCCGCGCUGGACCGUGUACAAGUCUCCUGGAAUGGAGCAUCAUAGAGGGUGAGAAUCCCGUCUUUGACAUGGACUACCAGGGCUUUGUGAUGCGCUCUCAAAGAGUCGAGUUGUUUGGGAAUGCAGCUCAAAAUGGGUGGUAAAUUCCAUCUAAAGCUAAAUAUUGGCGAGAGACCGAUAGCGAACAAGUACCGUGAGGGAAAGAUGAAAAGAACUUUGGAAAGAGAGUUAAACAGUACGUGAAAUUGCUGAAAGGGAAACGCUUGAAGUCAGUCGCGUCAUCCAGGGAUCAACCUUGCUUUUGCUUGGUGCACUUUCUGGUUUGAUGGGUCAGCAUCAAUUUUGACCAUUGGAAAAAGGUCAAGGGAAUGUGGCAUCUUUGGAUGUGUUAUAGCCCUUGGUCACAUACAAUGGCUGGGAUUGAGGAACUCAGCACGCCGCAAGGCCGGGUUUUUAACCACGUUCGUGCUUAGGAUGCUGGCAAUAUGGCUUUAAUCGACCC